AGAUAAUGGCUGUCUCUGUGCAACCGUCAUCAAAGAUACUAAGUUCCUCAAAAUCUCAUUCUCGGCCCGGAGGGUUGUCACCUCUUCACGAAGCUUGUGGUUCUCUUGUUCAAGAUGAUCCAUUCUGAUUUGCUCAAGUGUUGUAGAUGCGAGUCGACUGAUGGAUUGACCUUUUGUAGAGAAAGACACAUGAUAAGACA
rnacentral:lncRNA from 1 species